rnacentral:rRNA from 5 species
GCGACCCCAGGAUGGGCGAGGCCACCCGCUGAGU